rnacentral:ncRNA from 1 species
GCCGGGGGUCGGAUAAUACAACACCCGCAAGGGGAAUAGUCCGGCCUGACCUGUGCAGGUUAUCAGCCCCCGGCGCCAGGGC